UACGGAGGAUGCGAGCGUUAUCCGGACUUAUUGGGUUUAAAGGGUGCGUAGGCGGACGCUUAAGUCAGCGGUAAAAUUGCGGGGCUCAACCUCGUCGAGCCGUUGAAACUGGGUGCCUUGAGUGGGCGAGAAGUACGCGGAAUGCGUGGUGUAGCGGUGAAAUGCAUAGAUAUCACGCAGAACUCCGAUUGCGAAGGGGGCGUACCGGCGCCCUACUGACGCUGAAGCACGAAGGCGUGGGUAUCGAACAGG
rnacentral:rRNA from 1 species